UAAUGAUGGUGAGGGCAAUUUUUGAGCAUACCCUUAAAUCUCUCCAAAGCUUGGAAGAGAUUAUUUCCAUCUUUCUAUUUAAAAUUCAAGAUUUCACUCCUCAAGCG